rnacentral:ribozyme from 1 species
GAACUGCUGGGAGAGGAUACCAAACUCGAUGUUGACCCCUCAAGCCUGAAAUCCUAUUUUUCCUAGGAGAGUCAGCUUCAGGGAAAAAAAACCAAUAUCCUAACGCCUC